AGCGAAGCGAAGAAGAGCGGAUGGAGGAUGCCUAGGCUUUUGGAGGCGAGGAAGGACGUGGAAAGCUGCGAAAAGCCCCGGGGAACCGCAAACAGGUAUUGAUCCGGGG
rnacentral:rRNA from 1 species